rnacentral:rRNA from 1 species
GUAUAAGAGACAGCAGCAGCCGGGGGAAUACGGAGGGAGCUAGCGUUAUUCGGAAUUACUGGGCGUAAAGCGCACGUAGGCGGCUCUGUAAGUAAGAGGUGAAAGCCCAGAGCUCAACUCUGGAAUUGCCUUUUAGACUGCAUCGCUUGAAUCAUGGAGAGGUCAGUGGAAUUCCGAGUGUAGAGGUGAAAUUCGUAGAUAUUCGGAAGAACACCAGUGGCGAAGGCGGCUGACUGGACAUGUAUUGACGCUGAGGUGCGAAAGCGUGGGGAGCAAACAGGAUUAGAUACCCCCGUAGUCCCUGUCUCUUAUAC